CACCAGGUCAGGACACGGUAAGGAUUGACGGACUGAAGGCUCUUUCUCGAUUCCGUGGAAAGUGGUGCAUGGCCGUUUUUGGUUGGUGGAUCGAUCCGUCUGGUUAAUUCCGUUAACGAACGAGACCUCGGCACUCCGAAUAGCGCGGCGGACGUCGCGGCCUCCGGGCCGUCUUCCGCACGAGCUUCUUAGAGGGACCGUCCCCCGCCGGGGAAGGAGGUGCGAGGCAACGACAGGUCUGUGAUGCCCUUAGAUGUUCUGGGCCGCACGCGCAUUACACUGACGCGUCCAACGGGUGACUCCCGACCCGAAGGGGCCGGGGAAUCCGCAAGGCGCGUCGUGAUGGGGAUUGAACGUUGCAAUUGUUGUUCACGAACGAGGAAUUCCUAGUAGGCGCGGGUCAUCAACCCGCGCCGAUUACGUCCCUGCCCUUUGUACAC
rnacentral:rRNA from 1 species